GGGGGUGUAGCUUAGUCCGGCUCAAAGCAGUCGCGCGCCCGUGCGAAAGAUCGUGGGUUCAAAUCCCAUCUCCCCCG
rnacentral:tRNA from 1 species